rnacentral:rRNA from 1 species
GACGAACGCUGGCGGCGUGCUUAACACAUGCAAGUCGAACGGAAAGGCCCUGCUUUUGUGGGGUGCUCGAGUGGCGAACGGGUGAGUAACACGUGAGUAACCUGCCCUUGACUUUGGGAUAACUUCAGGAAACUGGGGCUAAUACCGGAUAGGAGCUCCUGCUGCAUGGUGGGGGUUGGAGAGUUUCGGCGGUUGGGGAUGGACUCGCGGCUUAUCAGCUUGUUGGUGGGGUAGUGGCUUACCAAGGCUUUGACGGGUAGCCGGCCUGAGAGGGUGACCGGCCACAUUGGGACUGAGAUACGGCCCAGACUCCUACGGGAGGCAGCAGUGGGGAAUAUUGCACAAUGGGCGGAAGCCUGAUGCAGCAACGCCGCGUGCGGGAUGACGGCCUUCGGGUUGUAAACCGCUUUCGCCUGUGACGAAGCGUGAGUGACGGUAAUGGGUAAAGAAGCACCGGCUAACUACGUGCCAGCAGCCGCGGUGAUACGUAGGGUGCGAGCGUUGUCCGGAUUUAUUGGGCGUAAAGGGCUCGUAGGUGGUUGAUCGCGUCGGAAGUGUAAUCUUGGGGCUUAACCCUGAGCGUGCUUUCGAUACGGGUUGACUUGAGGAGGGUAGGGGAGAAUGGAAUUCCUGGUGGAGCGGUGGAAUGCGCAGAUAUCAGGAGGAACACCAGUGGCGAAGGCGGUUCUCUGGGCCUUUCCUGGCGCUGAGGAGCGAAAGCGUGGGGAGCGAACAGGCUUAGAUACCCUGGUAGUCCACGCUGUAAACGGUGGGUACUAGGUGUGGGGUCCAUUCCACGGGUUCCGUGCCGUAGCUAACGCUUUAAGUACCCCGCCUGGGGAGUACGGCCGCAAGGCUAAAACUCAAAGGAAUUGACGGGGCCCCGCACAAGCGGCGGAGCAUGCGGAUUAAUUCGAUGCAACGCGUAGAACCUUACCUGGGUUUGACAUGGAUCGGGAGUGCUCAGAGAUGGGUGUGCCUCUUUUGGGGUCGGUUCACAGGUGGUGCAUGGCUGUCGUCAGCUCGUGUCGUGAGAUGUUGGGUUAAGUCCCGCAACGAGCGCAACCCUUGUUCACUGUUGCCAGCACGUUAUGGUGGGGACUCAGUGGAGACCGCCGGGGUCAACUCGGAGGAAGGUGGGGAUGACGUCAAGUCAUCAUGCCCCUUAUGUCCAGGGCUUCACGCAUGCUACAAUGGCUGGUACAGAGAGUGGCGAGCCUGUGAGGGUGAGCGAAUCUCGGAAAGCCGGUCUCAGUUCGGAUUGGGGUCUGCAACCCGACCUCAUGAAGUCGGAGUCGCUAGUAAUCGCAGAUCAGCAACGCUGCGGUGAAUAAGUUCCCGGGGCU